GGAUGCAACCGCCUUGUUAUUAAUUAUGAUAAUAUGGAGGUCAUUGAUAUCAUGGAGAAUGGAGAACAUUCUACGGGAGCGGCGACAACUGUUUUUGAUGAUUGCUAUUUUUGGCAUGUGAUACUAGUUUUGAACAUGGAAGCGAAUAAGGUAGCUCAUGAACUUGCUAGGUUAGCUAGAUUUUCUGCGACUAAGUAUUGGUUUGAGGAGCCUCUGGACGAAAUUGUACCUCUUCUUAUAGAUGAUGUAACCAUUAUUUCAAAAUAA
rnacentral:rRNA from 1 species